UUCAGCGCCUUCCAUGAUGAGACAAGCCGUUUGAAUGUUGACGGGAUGAACAUAAUAAGCAAUGACGGCAGCAAUACACUCAACAGGAGCAGGAAAGCGAGGGUAUCCUACAAAGUCCAGCGUACCAUAAACGCAAGCCUCAACGCAGCGACGAGCACGAGAGCGGUCAGUAGCAAUCCAAACUUUGUUACUCGUCAGAAAAUCGAAAUCAUCUUCGGUUAAAUCCAAAACG
rnacentral:rRNA from 1 species